AAAGAAAAUAACAAUGAUUCCCCUAGUAACGGCGAGUGAAGAGGGAUUAGCUCAAAUUUAAAAUCUGCUGGGUUUACCUAUCAGAGUUGUAAUUUGAAGAGGCGUUUUCCGCGUCAUUGUUGGUCCAAAUCCUUUGGGAUAAGGUAUCAUGGAGGGUGAGAAUCCCGUCCGGCCGACAUCAUGAUGUUUUACGAUACGCUUUCAAAGAGUCGAGUUGUUUGGGAUUGCAGCUCAAAAUGGGAGGUGAAUUUCUCCUAAGGCUAAAUAUUGGCGAGAGACCGAUAGCGAACAAGUACCGUGAGGGAAAGAUGAAAAGAACUUUGAAAAGAGAGUUAAAAAGUACGUGAAAUUGUUGAAAGGGAAACGAUUGAAGUCAGUCGUACCGACGAGAAAUCAGCUUUUCGAAUGUGCAUUUGUGGGCGUAUGAGAUCUUCAUUGUUUGCAAUAUGCGUAUUUUUUUGGUGUACUUUUUCGUAUGGUAGGUCAACGUCGGUUUUGAUCGCCAUAAAAUGACCGGAGGAAUGUAGCUUCGGCUUCGGUUGAAGUGUUAUAGCCUUUGGUAAAUGUGGUGAUUAGGACCGAGGAUUGCAACGAAUACCUUUUAGGCUAUCCGUCUGACCUCUGAAAGUUACUUAGGUGCCGAAAGCUUGCUUACAGUCAUUUAAGUUGACGGUCAAAAGGUUAGAACGCGAUUACAUUCGUUAAGGACGUUG
rnacentral:rRNA from 1 species